rnacentral:rRNA from 1 species
AUUGAACGCUGGCGGCAUGCCUUACACAUGCAAGUCGAACGGUAACGCGGGGCAACCUGGCGACGAGUGGCGAACGGGUGAGUAAUGUAUCGGAACGUGCCCAGAUGUGGGGGAUAACUGCUCGAAAGAGCAGCUAAUACCGCAUACGACCUGAGGGUGAAAGCGGGGGAUCGCAAGACCUCGCGCCAUUGGAGCGGCCGAUAUCAGAUUAGGUAGUUGGUGGGGUAAAGGCUCACCAAGCCAACGAUCUGUAGCUGGUCUGAGAGGACGACCAGCCACACUGGGACUGAGACACGGCCCAGACUCCUACGGGAGGCAGCAGUGGGGAAUUUUGGACAAUGGACGCAAGUCUGAUCCAGCCAUGCCGCGCGCGGGAAGAAGGCCUUCGGGUUGUAAACCGCUUUUGUCAGGGAAGAAACGCUCUGGGUUAAUACCUCGGGGUAAUGACGGUACCUGAAGAAUAAGCACCGGCUAACUACGUGCCAGCCGCCGCGGUAACAC